AGAAAAAUAUCUGACUUUUUAUUUCUUCCAGAUUUAAUCAAGUCUGAGAGCAUCUCUUUAUAGAUUCAAGAAAAUGGAGAUCCAUCUGCUACAGAUCUAUGCACUGAAACAAUGGAGCCUGGACGAUGCUGGGGACGGCAUAUUCAAUUCACCCUCUGAUGUCAUGAGCUCACAGAGAGGCAGUGACCCUAUUAAAGGCUGAACUCUCUCAAAGAUCAUCCUCAAAGUAGUCCACAGCUGUGCAAUAUCAUCAGAGCGAUGCUGUCAGGCAAGAUGUGAGGGCAGAUGGUGAAAAGGAUUACAACUGUUUUGGAGGAACACAGCUGACUGGGACGACCCUGGUCUCUACAAGAUUUUGGAGUUCUCUGAGAUUGACGGAGAUACAUCUUCCUUCCCAUCACGAGACAUUUCCUUCAUCAUUUUUUCCAAACUAAUAUGCAAGAUAGCUGUCACAUGGCUGGGGACAGGUCUAGUAGGUGAGUUCAUGUGGUGGGAAGGAUGUACAGUAUUAGAUAGACACAGAACUCUGCUGAGUAUAGAGCAUGGCUGCGUGCUUCAGUUUCACCACAGUUCACCAAUGUCUCUCCCAUUUCAUGACCUUAUGUACCAAAUGCAGUUGGUUGGCAGAUUGCCCAUGAUCUGCCAACCGUGGCAGCUGUGCCUGGCACAUGACGUGCUGCAAAUGUAUGGGAUAUACACCAGCUUAGGUAGACAGGCAAUGCUUGAAAUAAGACCUGACUGAAAGUCUCUUGAUUCAGCACAUGAAACUUCACAGGUUUACAGGACACUUUAUUAAAUGUCACUUGGUACGAGCUAUUGUUCUAAGAAUCAUACAAGAUAGAGCACUUGAUUUCUAACCUGCCAGCUCACUGCCUGGUCUCUUACCUGACCCUGUUUACAUCAAUGCAUUGAGUUGCUGACAGCCACAGUGCAGAAGGAGAACAUACUCUGUACACACUCAUUGCUAGCAUUAGUGACUGCUUGCUGUUCUCCUCUCAGUUCUGUGCAGAAAAACUUACAGUUCUGUUCAUUCAACAGACAAGUUUUACCUUCGUCAGGGAAUAGGAAGUCUACUGUUCAAAGAGUUCUCCUAAUGAGUUACUAAUCAGCUUAACUCUUUCUUUAAAAACUCCCCAGUGCUAUAUUCUUCCUUUUUCUCUUUUAAGCCUCUUAAACUGUUUUAGUUCUUACAAAGCAUUUGACUUGAGCAUUUAAAAGAACCCCUCCAGAAUUUUAAAGAAGUGAUAAUUUGUUCUUUAAUAGGCUUGGAUAGGGAUCACAGUCUCAUACUCUACCUGUAUUUUUUCUUUCAGCUUCUGGGAGUGUUUCUUCUUCUCAUUUACCUUCCAGGUUUUCUCCUCUAGGUCUGUCUCCAGCUUCUUUACCUGCUGCAGCAGAAAGCCUUCGUGAGCCUCUAAGGUCUUCCUUUGCUCAAGUUCUCUUUGCUGACAAUUCUUCUGCCUCUCUGCCAUGGAUUGCCGCAUAGCCUUCUUUAAAGUCUCUUUUUCUCUCUGAUAAGAGGCUUGUAGUUGGCUGGUUUUCUGUGUACAUUCUUCAAUGACUCUCUGGUUCUCACUCUUCAGGUUUUCCAUCUCAUUAAUCAGAGCUUGUCCUUCCACACUGUAUUUUUCAUCUAGAAUCUCUUUUCUAUCUAAAUUCUCUCUACUAGAUGUUUUGCAUUCAUCUAACAGGCCCUCAUGCUCCCGAUUUAAAUGUAGAAGCUUGUUUUCAAAGUCUGCAUUGGUAUCUACUGUGUCUGUGGAAAGUAUCAUCUGUGCCUGUUUUACUUCCAUUCUCAGCUCUCUUCCUUCCACCUGCUUCUUGAACAGGGUUAACUCUGCUAAGGCUUCUUCUUUUAGUCUCUUGUGUUGUUCUACUGCAUCUUCAAGGACUUGAAUACGCUUUCUGAGCAACUGUUCUUCUUCAACUUUGCUUUUAUAUUGGAGAAUUGUUUUCCUUGUCUCAGCAAGAAUGUGCUGAAUUUCUUCUUCGUGAGCAUCUUUCAGAGCCUGUAUACUAGCCUCAUGUUCAUCAUUCUUAGUGUUCAGAGCAUAUAUCACCUAUAAAUCAAGAAAAAGAAUAGGAAAUUACAGUAUCUGAUAACUGGUAGUGUUAUGAAUUUAGUUAUAUUUAUCAAGGUCUUAAAUGCUUUAUUAAGACAAUUAUCAUUACAGCUAAAUUUUUGUUGCUAUUUGUUUUUUUCACUAGCAAUGUACGGGACAAUUAUAAAUUACAAAGUCCUAUAAGGAAGGAAGAUGAUACUGUGAGAAGCAGAUUUUUUCAGAUUUUGUCAGCAGUUUCCUUUUUUACUGCUGGCAAGUCAUCACUUCAUGCACCUGGUCUGACUUCUAAUACAAGGAAUGAAGUAGGGCCUCUUCCAGCUAACGGACUCCAUAUUUGUAGCCUAGUGCUCUAUUUAGCUUUCAGUGCAGUAGCACCAUCUGCCACUUUGCCUUUAGCAAGUACUGGGGAUCAGUAGAGGCAGAUCUGUAGAGUGAAACCUAAGAUCCUGAGGACGUGACAUCCAGCUCAUGUGGACCAAAAUCACUCUGUGAUGUGAAUGAAAGCAAAGUUCAGAAGAAGGAUAAAAUUGUGCACUCCUGAUUGGAACUAAAACACCACUGAAGAUGCACCCGUAGAAGUCACACAUCUGCGAGUUAGUUUUUGGGUCGGUAUUUCAAGAGAGCUGCUACUCCAUUGAAAGCACCUUUUGGUUUGGUUCAGAUAAUGUUUUUUAGCGCACUUCAAUAAUGGCUGUAUUUCUCAGAAAUUAGGCUUUAGUGGAUUCAAGGAGAGCCUCUGAUGACAGUAAGCAACUUUUUAAAACAAUUAGUCUGAACUUUUGGAGCAUUAUCUUGUUCUAUAAAAUGCAGAGUAAUAAUUCUCAUGACUUUAAGAAAAAUUAUUACCCCAAGAAGCCUUAAACCCAUACUGAUAUUCUGUCACAGAAGCUGUUGUACAAGCGCACAUUACUAUUAUUUUUAAAAAAAAGCUAAAAAGCCCACAGUAGACUGAAUUGAAGAGCUCAUGGUCUAAACCUACUGGUUCUGGGAGGUUCCAUGCUGAACUUACAAGACAGUUAUAUAUAAUUCCAAAACUAGAAGUUGCCUUGACAUGGGGCCUAAUCCAGUUUCUAUUAAGGUCAGUGGGUAUUUGCUACUGUUCCUAUGGAAGCAAGAUUAGUAUUUAAAUUUGUAACUGAUUUUUAUAUAAAGUGCUUCUUUAUUUUUAUGUUAUUACAUAUGUUCAAACCAUUCAUACCAUCCACCCUGGUAAGUGUUAAGCAGUAAUUUUUGUGUAUUCAAAAAUCUCCUAUGAUUUUUUAAGCUAUCUAUCAAUGUAUAUAUGUGUGGAUUCAUUAGUGUGACUAGAUACAGGAAAGGAUCAAGCAAGAAGAAUUUGCUAGUGGGUAAUUUUUCCCAGAUACCUGAAAAAUUAGUACUGAACUGUGCAACCACCAACACAUAUAACAGAAACUGAGGUAUAGAUAUUUACCAUCCAUUUUCUCCCCUGUCAGCCAACACUGUAUCUCCCUUCAAAUGACUGACUUCUGUAUGAGUCAUAUUAACGCUUCUGAUUACAUUUCCCAUGGAUUUUUGCUUUCAUUGCUUAUUAGCAGCUUCCUUUUUGAAUUACUUGGCUAAAAGAUAUGGCUAUACUUUCUGAUAGAGCACACUAUCAGAAACAGAAGAUAGCCUUUUCAGACUAGAUCACUUAGGGUAUUCCUGGGUCCCCAAUAGCCUUUCCAUUAACCACAUUCAUACAAAAUUGUAUGAAAAGACAUAGGUAUCUAACUCAAGAAGGACAUUUUGAUUAUUAAUAUAUUCAUGGAGGUUUUCCUCUCUUUAUUUUUUUUUUUUCACAUACAGCUUAUCCCUCUACAAAACUAGGCCUGGAAAUUACAUACAAGUUAUGACAGCUAUUAUGAGUCUGGCCUGAGCCCAGAAAGACUAAUGGAAAGAUUCCAAGACAAUGUUUGAGAAAACAAGUCUUAGAUACAUAAACCUAGAAAGAAGAUCAUGGCUAAUUUUUUGAUUUUACUAGAAUUCAAUCCUUCCUCAGGGAAAUGUAAGAAAUUAAGAGACAAUAGGCCUAAUACCACACUUAAGUGCCACAAGUCUGAGGCCUGCACUGUAUACAGCCUGAGGAUGUCUUCAGAAAUAUUGAAUUUGCUUAGCUACAUCUAAACAUUUUUUGUGCUAUUUAUAUAUUGAGUAACAUAUUGAAUUUCAGUCAUCCAUAAAUAAAAGCAACCACACAAAUACAUCUUGCAUAAAGUAAACUCCAGUCCUGCUAGUAAUGAAAUAAAUAUAGAAGCCUUAAAAAGUUCACAAAUGCAAAACACAGUCUGGGUACUCUUGUGGAUAAAUAUGUGAGAAAGAGAAUAACAGCAUCAUGUUCCAGAAGAAGAAAAGACAAGAAUUCAUUGUCUGCAUUUAGAUUUGUAUAUACUUUGGACUCAGAUUACAUCUUAUUAAUUAUCCUCUGUUAUUUUUAAUCAUUUUUCUUCUGAAACAGAAAUAGUUGCAGGAUACUAAGUAGACUCCCUCUUUCCAGAAGUUUUAACUCAAACCAUUCUGUGAACCCCGUUUAACUAUUCACACCAUAAAAAUAGUCAUAAAAACUACAAGGAGAAGGAUUAAUUUUGCCCAUAGCUUUGGAAUGACCAGUAAUUAGUUUGGGCAACUCUUCAGUUAGCCGGGUCAAGUGUUGGCAACAAUAUGUCUUUGUUUCUUUCCAUUAACAAAAUGCAAAUACAUUAUUAGAACAUCAGGCUUUCAUGAUUCAAAAACUUCCACUUUUGACGAAUUUGUCUAGUUUAUUAGCACUGCCUGUUUUGUCUUACGUUGUAUUCAGUCUGACAGUGGAAGUUGUGUUUGUCUAAAGUCUGACUUCAUUAUAGAUAGAAAUUUCCCAAAUUGCACUGAACAUUAGAUUGAAUUGAAGACUUUCUACAUUAAUGGUUAUCACCAAAAUCUUAGGUGAGUUAUCUACAAGACUGGGAGAAACUGGCCUCCCUGGUCUAUCAGUUCUUCCUAUGCUUCCAUUCAACAGUGACUAGAACCACAAUGAAAAAUUUUGACUUAAAAAUGUGGGCCCUUAAAGUUAAUCUUCAGGCUUGACUGCUGAAACUGAUUCCUCAGUAUCUUAACCUUCUCAAGAGAUUUAAUUUUCAAAGGAUUGCUGCUCACUACUUCCUGAAAUUUAGGUCGCUCAUGCAUGCCUUUCAUUCCCUAUUUAAUAUAAACGCCUGGGGCUACAAUAUUCCUAUCCCAGGUACUUCAUUUAAGAGACUAAAGUCAUGUGAGAUGAAUCUGGGACUGUACAUGCAUUCUGCUGGAAGGAAAAACACUGAAAAAUUAUUUCAGCUGCUGUACCUUGCAGGGUAUACGUUCUGCUUGGUAACGUGGUAUAAACCUCUCAACAGUUGUGUUGAUAAAAGGCUUUGUAAAAGCAGCUCUAAAAUUGGUCAGUUUGACAGCACAGAGAACUGCCUUCACAUGUAAAGGACAUUAUAUCACUCCUUGAGUUACCAGCAUAAUACCAGUGGCUACCACCUCCCUACAGUUCUCCAAAGCUGUAUGAGCAUCUGGAAACAUACUGAUUUUACAGCAGCUGAAUUGUAUGACAGGUUGGUAGAAACACUAUUGCACAUACACUGGGGAAUUAUCAGUGCUGUGAAUAUGAGUACCUCUUGUUAGUCCUGCUUUAUCCUCUGAAUGCCCGAAAUCUAAAUGGCAUCUUAUUUCCUUCCCGCUUUUCUUUAUGGUGAUGUUAAACAACAAAAAAAGAAAAUAAUCAACUGUACCUCAUCAGUGAAGACAAAACUUAAGGAUUCAUCCUGAAAAAGACUGAUCUGUUUUCUAACAGCAGUUUUGACCAACACUAUUCUUGUAGGAAGCUGACUACCAUUAUGAAAAAAUGGCUCCAGCAAGUUGCUUUACUAGCUGAAUAAGAAGUGAGACAGUUUGGUAUGGAGAGGAGGGCUGUUGAUAAGAAGAAUCCAAAAAAGGCAAAGGAUCCGAAAUACUCUUCUCCUUUCAGGCCCAGGCGAGUGGGCAGAAGUAAUGUAUCAAACCCUUCCUGAUGAGGAAAGAGCUAAAAGAAAAAAGAAACACAAUGAGAACAGGCCCUAAUUCCAUGGGAUAACUAAUAAGAAAAAGAAAGGAGCUUGAUAGUCCAGACCUCAGACAUAGGCCAAAAGGCCCUGGAGGGGGAUGCUGAGCAGGGUACACUCGACAGCACCCUAAACAAAGCAGGGGAGAAGACGAGUUUCCACUGCUAACUAACUUGCUAUGGGCUGACUGAAGCCAGGUGAUUGCACCAUCUCUUUUUUUACUAGCGGCAGUAGUAUCUCAUCCUCACUAGCAGCUGAGUUUGUUUCUAUGAACUCUGUCUUGCCCACGUGCAAAGCAGAUUAAAGAAGAGUGAGGUAUUUAACAUGUCAGCCUUGAAGCUGUGUCUGUUAAAACAAAUCACAAGGAAAUUAUGAGGAGAAAGCUCACUUUGUGAAAGAAAUGGCUCCGUAUACCUUAGCCUUAGAAAAUAAAACCAGCUCACACAGUUGACAAACUAAUACUCUAAUAAGAAUUCACAUGGAUAUCUUUGUCCUUCUUUGCACCGAAGAAGGAAGAAAGUCUUUUCAUAAGGCACAGGCUGUCUAGGCUAUGAUUAGCUGUAGUGCUGAUUCAGUUUUACACCAGGGCACCUAUGUUGAUUUUAACUGAACGAUACUGCUGUGACAUAUGGUUAGUGACCUCAAGAAAAGUCUCAGAUCUUUCCUUGGGUCUUUUAUGGCUUCCUAAAAGCACAAAAAUAAUUUUAUGCACACAGAUAGUUCCAGUGACUAUUGAUAAUGUUACCCAUUUAUAUGUUUGUAUGAGAGAAUAUUGUCACCCCAAGCAUUCAGAAAAGUUUCAGAACCUAAAAUUAAAUACCACCCUUAAAAUCACAAAAAGUUUUGUAUUUUAUAUAUUAUUUGUAUUUUUAAAUAGCAUUUUUAUUUGCCAUAUGACUUUUUUAGUCUUCUAAAAGAAGAGGUUGCAGCACCUCACUAAACCUAAAGAAACUUAUUUUCCUCUGAAGUAAAAGAUCAGCUCUGGCUGAAACAACUUUGUUUUCAAAAGCUGGAGUUGUAGAGAGGAAUAUCAAAAAAUUCUUUGCUGAACCUUCAGAUUGCAUAUGUUACUACCAUACCAUUUAUGAGAAAAAUGCUAUAAAGCACAAUUCUUUUGGUAAGAAAUACACGGUUCAGGGCUCACUCACCCACUCACUGUCCAUUAAAAAUACCUUGAAUCAACACAGAUCAUAACGAUAUUGAUUUUCACUUAUAAAACACAAUAAACAUAACUUAUUUCAAGCAUUCUACUGUCAGCAAGUUAUUAAAGAUAUUUUGACAAAAUUUCUCAACCCUCAAACUUCUGUCUGGCCAUGCAUAGGGUGCACGCAUAAGAGGUUAACACAGUCAGAGAUGCAGAGAGUUCAGGGCCAGCUUAUGUUCAGUGGAGUUUACAAGCUCCAGGUCAGAGCUGGGGACUCAGCUAUACUUCAUAGUGCUGGCCUCUCUCUGAAAACAGUAUGUUUACUUUUAAAUCAAGAAACUAAAAUUGGAAUCUAAUGAGCUCGGAGGAAGUAGGUUCUACAGAGAGCCAGAUCCCAUGUCCCACAUCACAUUGCAAACACAGGCUUCAUGCAGCCCGAGCUCAAGUGCAAGCAGCUCCCUCAGCUCUCACCUGCGGUGCCCCAACAAUCCAAGCUGGCUGCCACAGAGCCGCUGGUUUGCUAUCCCUCGCCCUCCCCAGCUCCUCCAGCCUCAGAAGAGCUGCAUAGCUUGUGCGCUGCACCAGAACGAAUCUUGAUUAGCGUACUAACAAGGGAUUCUGCUUCAGGAUAUUCUCUUUCAGUGCACGAUCAACCUAAAUCCUUUCAUCUAUUGCUUCAGCAAAGUUAAUAAACCCUUUUGGAUCCAAGGUGGGAAGACAGGACAGCAUAGAAGCAGCCAAUGGCCCUGUAUGAAGACUGCUUGUGUUCAGAUCUGCUAGGGUGCCUCUGGGGCAGAAGCUCACCGUGCAAUGUCUCGCUGUCGUAAAUGUCCCGGCGUAUCCACGUUAUUUGUGUUUUUCAUUAUCUGGGGAAUCACAAUGAGAGACCUCUUGCCUUCAUGUGCCAUGAAUUACAUUAAGUCAUAACAUACAUCGAGAUACUAAAAUGUAUCAGGGAAGUAUAAGCACAAAAUGCCUACAGAUUGCUAAUCUCUUUUGGCAUGUCUCUUGCCUCCUUUUGCCUCUCACUUUUUUUUUUUUUGCCUUCUAAUUUAAAUUUUAUACAAGGAAAUCAGAUGCAUUUAUUCUUUUCUGUAUUUUACUUUUUUCUAUCUAAUAUAGUGAAUACUGAACAUAAAAAACCUUAGUGUAGUGGAUAUAGGUAUUGCACAUGAUCUAUUUGCAACCAAAUAUAAAAUUAGCCCUGGUUUAAAUUUUACUAAAGAGACAUCCAGCUGUCCCUUCUUUGUAUUUGUAGUCUCCAAGUAGACAAGUCUGUCUGUAGACAAGCAGAAUAAUUGUCAGGCAAUUUAAGAACUGGGAAAGUAAAAAUAUAUUGCAAGAAUGUUUCCACAAACAGAACAGGUGGUGAAAAAGGCACUAAUAUAGCACCAUAAAAUUUCAAAAAAAAGCAAAACCAGACUGUGGAAUCACAAAAAUUAAUUCUAGACAGAGACUAUUCUGCCGGGAAACUCACGUGCAGUCCACAACCCAUCUAUGUAUUGCUGAAGGCAGAUAUCUUCUGGGACUGUUUCAUAAAGUCUGUUCAACUUCAAGCCCUUUUUUCUCUUUUCUGAAGAGGCCAGAAAUCCCUCUGCUAUAACUUUGGGUGUGUGCAAUGCCUCCCUUAGCAUCUCAAACAAUAGGUUGUCCAGACAAUCAUGGAAAUAUUAAAGAUUCCUCUAAUUCCAACAAGGAAACUCCGUGACUGUUCUGCAACAGAAAUACUAGAGAAGGAGGUCAGAUGAGGCCACUAGCAAUUACUAGAAGGAAACAGAAAAAAAAAAACCCUGUGUAUUUCCUCGUUCUCAGAAGCAUCUUUUCUGUAUACAAGAGAUGGGACUCAUCUCAUUGACCAUCAGCCAUUUCAUCAUUACAUGUCUAAUCUAGCUUAGCCAGCUGAGUUUCUCCAAAGAGUAAUUUUUCCCUUCCCAAUACCGGUGUCCAAAAUAGGUACGAUAGGUGUAAUGAGUUGUUGCAGGUAUUUAAGUGGUUGGUUGUUGAUAUUUCUUCUACAUAUAUAACUAACUUUCCAGCUCUUCUUUCUUAUGCAGAGCUGGGGGAAAGUCCUAUACUUUGACUAGAUGAGACAGAUUUGAAUUCUCACAGGCAAGAGCUUGUUUAUGUUCUCUGUUCUUCGCUCUCUGGGGUUUCCCUCCUUUGUGAACUGAUGUUUCACUUCAUAAUGCCUUCACUUCUGUAUAGCCACUUUGUGUUGUCUUACAAACACUUUAAAAAACAAAACAUGUUUUGGGCAUUAAGAUAUUACAUGCAUCUACCUUAAUGCAGGAUUUCCUCAUCAACCAUUAUAAAACAAUAAUUUGUUUUGGUCCUCUAGAUUUUAAUCAAGACGUACAGUUUUCUAUGCUUCUCCUUACAAUUCACUUUCAGCAUAUUUUUUCUCUCCAUUCUCUUAUAUUUUUGGAAAAAGCUAGCUUUUCUCCAAACUAAAUGCAAUUUCUUUUGUUUUCCAUCUAUAUUCAUUUUUCCUCCUUUCCAUCUUGUUUAGGUGUUUAUGACUCCCCCAAAUUAGUAUCAUCUGUGAAUUUUAAUGUUGUUCAUUUUCACUUCCACAUCAUUAAUUAAUGUGAAAUAAGGCAAGCUCUAACCCA